rnacentral:misc_RNA from 1 species
GAUGAAGAACGUAGCGAAAUGCGAUACUUGGUGUGAAUUGCAGAAUCCCGCGAAUCAUCGAGUUUUUGAACGCAAGUUGCGCCCGAAGCCAUUCGGGCGAGGGCACGUCUGCCUGGGUGUCACGCAUCGUUGCCCCCCCAAACUCCGGUUCGGGCGGGGCGGAAGUUGGCCUCCCGUGCGUGCCUGCGCGCGCGGUUAGCCCAAAAGCGAGUCCUCGGCGACGAGCGCCACGACAAUCGGUGGUUUUUUUACCCUCGUUCCUCGUCGUGCGUGUCCCGUCGCCCGAACGCGCUCUUGUGACCCUCACGCGUCGCCUCGGCGGCGCUCCCAACGCGACCCCAGGUCAGGCGGGACUACCCGCUGAGUUUAAGCAUAUCAAUAAGCGGAGGA